rnacentral:lncRNA from 1 species
CUAUAAAAGUGAAUUUUGCGUCUUCUGCUUGUUCUGUUUCUGGUGGAAUUUGGUUGAGAGCUUUGCUCUAGUAGAGGAGAAAAUCCUAGUGGAUUACCUAAUGUUUAUCCGAGUCGUUUUGUGAUUGCACUUGCCAUGUUUACCAUCAGAGUGUUGCUGGUUAUGCCGACUGGAGCUUAAUAUUUGUAAAAUGUUACCAGUCUCUUGAAUUAUGUGUGUAUUGUAGAGGGCCUCAAAAGUCAUAUUUGUAAGUGUAACUGGUUUGGAGUAGAUGAUGUCCUGCGCGUUGCCAAAUUUCAUUUCAAGAAUGUGAGAAAUAGUUGGGCCUGAUUGCAAUAGUAUUUGUAAUCGUAGUACAUUUCAUUUGCAAUCAUACAGCUGAUGCCUGCUGCAAUCAUUCGGAUCAGGCUACUAAAUUCUUUGAAAUCAUUUGCUGAUGCCUGUUGCAACUGUGAUGCCUCACUGUCAUGUGUCGCCGUGACUUGCUAACCAAAUUGGUUUGUGUCAAUUUCGUAAACUUGCAGGCUUAUAGAAUUAGAAAUACUACUGUAUUAGAUACCCUCACUGUCAUGGGCUUUCUAUUAUUAGUCAAGUAGUAUGUUUAGAAUCUUGUUGGGAGAGUAAAGCUUUGCUUUCAGUUUUUUCUUGUAUGUGGGGAUUGCUACUGCUCAUACAGGAGAAAAUUGAUAACUACUAUGUCAUUGUGUACUCCCUCCGUGCCAAGUGUAAUGUCAAGUUUAGAUUGGUCAAUAUGGUUCUCGUUUUCAAAUUUUUUACAUGCUCUCAUUUUUUGUGUGGGUAAUGUUUUAUAUGCUCUUUAUCUCUUCCCUUGACAGACAUUCGACGAGGCAGUGGGCGAUAUAGCUUUCUAGCUCCUUAGGGGGGUUGUUCCUCUUUACAGGUGUGUUAAACAGGGUUUUAUGUGGUCAUAUGGAGUUUAUUAGGUAGAGAAAGUACCUUGUGAUUUUUCUAAUUUUGGACAUAUUUGUGUGAAUUCUUGCUGCAAUAAUACAAACUGUGUUGAUGUAUGUCAAAUAUAUGGUCAGAUUAGCCUAUAUUAGUAUAUGUGUUGAUUGAUUAAAGUGUUAUGACAACAAUGCAUGACAGCAGUAUGUGCAUGAAGUGCUUGACAAUUAACCUUAAAAUUUAUGUUGUGAAAUAGAUGGAAAAUGAAAAGGCUAAUUGGGAUGCACAUCACAUAAGUGGAGACACUAAUUUUGUUUGACUUGUGGAGGCUCUAAUCCUCAGGGAUCAUGGCUAAAAGAAAUUUGCCAUGUUGCAAAAAGAAAAGAAAUUUGCCAUGGUGCAUAUAGUAAAAACAAUGCCAUGAUCUGUAAAAUACAUUUGUCAUUCUUUCUGUGUUUGUACAGACUUGCUAAACUAUUGAUGAUUUUUUGUUGGGUGACAUAUUAUAUCUGGAAUGGAAGCUCACAUAAGUUGAGCUGAUUUUUGUCCAUAUGAAAGCAGAGGACCAUAUGGUCUGUGGCUGGGUUUUGUCUCCGACCGUCGUGUCGUGAUGAUUUUGCAGGUACCCCGAGAGGCCCUUGAGUUUGCCGGAAUGUCGAUUAACUUCCGUUCCGGCAAAUUCGGGUACUCCAUAUGUCCUAUUUUCAGCAAAGGUCAUGCUGAAAUUUUCCGUGAAUUUUAGCAUGACUUUGCUAAAAAUUGGACAUAUGAGGUACUUGCUACUAAUGCAUGGGCCGGGGUAUAUUAGUACUUAAUUAAGUAGGAUCAACUGUCCCUUUAUUCUUGCUGCAUUAAACCAUAUGUGGCAGUAGAGCCAAGUGAUUAGGCCCAACUUAGAAUUCUCCUCAACAUCGAUAAACCCUAGAUGAUGAAAACUUAACUUAGCAUUUAGGGUGCCUCGGCAUCGAUAAACCCUAAAUGAUGAAAACUUAACUUGGCUGCCCCGGAUGCCUCGCUGUCGAUGAGAACCUAAAUGAUGUACGCUUAGGCUUUUAGGGUGCCUCGGCGUCGACAAACCCUAAAUGAUGAAAGCUUAGGCUUUUAGGGUGCCUCGGUGUUGACAAAUCCUAAAUGAUGAGACCAUGAUCUUGUUCCUUGACAAUAACCAACUUUUUGACCAAACUUUUUUCCUAUUUAGAGCGAAACAUGGCCCACAAUGAUGAGGCCGGUGGUUCGGGCGGCAAGCCAUUCUGGGAGCUGUCCCAGGAGAUGGAGGAACAACCUCACUGCUAUGAGGACGCCGUGGAAGACACCGAUCCUAAUUACACAACCCCUAGUGGCAUCGGGGAUGACACCACUGAUGGUGCCGCCGAGGAUGCCACCACUGAUGAUGGCGGCGCACACACAGAUGCAGCCAACCGAAGAAGCAAAAUAAGGACCGGCGCCCGAAUGCGCUCCGCGCCCUCAAGGAGGAAUUCACUCAAGUGGACUCUGACGGGAAUCCAACGGAGCCCAAACAUAUAGUCAAGGGGUACUCACUUCAGCUCGGGUGCAUUCUCCGGAGCACCGUCUCGAUCAACACCGAGAACCUUAGGCAUAAGGACCGAGGGAAUUUGCGCAACCUCCUCUUCAUGAAGCUGCACGAACGAUACAAGUUCCCCGCCGAAUUUGAAAACACACGCCUCUCGGGAAUAAAGUGAACAGUGCCGCCCUCACGAAGAUGAGCACGGCCCUGUCUACUUGGAGAAGCGCGGUGAAGAGAAUGAUUGAUAAAGGUGAUAGUUAUGACAAGAUCAAGGCGAAAUAUCCUUUGAUGAGCGAAGAUGACUACAAGGAGUUCAAGAUCAAGUGCGAGAGCCCCGAAUCCUCCGAAUCAAGUCAGUGGGGGAAAGAAAUGCGGGAGUUGAACUUAGGGGAACACAAACUCGGUCCCGGCGGUUACAGAGUGGCGGAGCCUAUAUGGGACAAGGAGGACGCGGAGCAUGCCGAGCAAGGCCUACCGCCCCGCUUCGAGAAAUACAGCGGUGACAAGAAGACCAGGAACUAUGUCAGGGCCCGGUACAAGGAGGACCCGAUAACAAAGGAGCUUACCACGGAUCCGAAGACCAGGGCACUUGAGCUUCUUCUGGUAAGGAAUACAACCCCGCGUAAUUAGCUCCAUAUGGUGGCACUCUAAUUAAUCCCCAAUAUUUCUAAAUGGUUCACGUUCCUUUCGCAGGACAAGGAAAGCAGUAUCGCGGGGUCGUCUCAGAGCUCCCCUUUCGACAUCCCUUUAAAUAGGGCGUUGAACGUGAUGAAAAACAAGGAUAAGCUCACUAAGCCGACGUCAGCUGGUCGUGUGGCAGGCAAAGGCUUGUCCACAAAAUGGGGGUCAUACUAUACGCUGGUGUGCGGAAGGAGAAAAAGACCAGCUCGGAAAGCCAGACGCGCGAGGUUGAAGAACUCAAGGCACAAGUGGCACGGAUUCCGGAGCUUGUCCAAGAGCAAGUGCAACAACAACUUGGAACGACGCUCAACGCCAUGGUGCCUACGUUGAUUCAUGGGCUGACGACGUGGAUUGCGGGCGGCCAACAGGGGCCUCCCCCGGUUCCCAGCUUCACGGCCAGCAACUCGCACAGCGUGCAGGCGGCGCCAUUGGUGUCUCCGGCGGAGGCGGUAUUCGUGUCUCCGGCGCUGGCACAGGCAUUGGAGCUUAAUGCACCCGGGUGUACGCCGGCCGGCACCUCGCCAGCAAGCGCCCCCUCCGUCAGUUGCACGCCCGCUGUUGGCGGUGCCUCGACAUUAGCCGAGCUCGACGGCAUCACGGUAACUAAGCCUCUCGGCCGAUGACUUCAUCUCCUUGCCUUUGACUGGGCAUCCCUGACGCCCUGUACAUGUUUUCGCAGGGCACCGCCGACGUUCCUCGCACUCUUCUGCACUUCGUGGGCGCCGAGUUGGUCGAUGUCGCCAAGGGCAGAAUCGUUCAACUGGGCAACCCCAUGUUCCAGGGUAAUCCGAUGCCACCCACAAUGUAUAGGGUUGAAGUGGUCCGGGUGCUGCCAGGCUGCGACGAGCUGUUACCUCCGAUUCGACCCGCUGGGGCCGACGAAGAAGAUGAGAUGACCCUCGGCACCUGCGUAAACUGGCCCCUGCUUUGGCCGAAGAGCCAGAUUCAUUUGGGGGCGGGGGACACCACCCCUCAGACAAGACCGCCAGUCGUGCCGGCACCAAGACAUGGCAAGAACGCCGCAACGCUACUGGACCUGCCGGACAUCCCUAUAGCACAGGAUCCGGACAGCCCUAUGUCACAGGAUCCGGACGGCGACGACAACGACGACGGUACAUUUACCAAAGUUGAUAAGUACUUUGCCGAACAUGGGUACGCUGACGAGUUCUGCGAGCCUCUUUCUCAAGAACCCAACCAAGACGACCGCGAUCUAGCUGGUACGGCGGAGAAAUCCAAUUGCAACAGGCGUCGUCUGGCGUUCAGUUCUCAGGACACGCCUCCAGCUCCCGCCUUCACCGAGCCUCAGAUAGCUGAGGUGCGAAAUAUUAUCAGCCCCAACACGCUGAAGAAGGCGGUCUGUGAGCAGAACUCGGUCCCAUUACAGGAGAUCAAGAAGAAGGGACGGAAACGAAAGACUAACAAGGGCGCCGGUGCGAGCCAGCCGGCAGCGAGUUCGAUCCAUGCUCAGGACGGGCCACCUUCACCUAAGGAUAUCUCGAGGAGGGUGCAUGUGGCGGGUAGGGCGAUGCUACCGCCAAAUAUGCUGAAUGCUGCAACCGGUGCUAUGCGGAGUCUGCACGACAGUGUUCUUUCUUUGGAGAAGCGGUGUCUCAGAGAGAAGGAUGUGGCAUACCCGGUUUUCGUGGCCAAGGUGCCAGAGAGAAAGGGCUUUGUGGAUGGCGACAUCGGGGGUACGAUCGUCCUGCGGUUUGAUGACAUAUUUGCUAUGUUUAACCUUCAUCCGCUGCACUACACCUUCGUUCGGCUGUUUUCGCUGAGCAUGCAGAUGCGGAUCAUUAGAGACAAGACCCCGGACAUCAUGAUAGUCGACCCCUUCUACAUGCGUGCCAAGCACUUGAGCAGCGGUGGGGACCGCCAAGUUGCGAGUUCACACCUCGAAGGCGUCAUUCUGGCAAACACAGAUAAGGAUAACUUCCUUGUGGCUUACUUUCCCGAGUAAGUCAUCCCUUAACCGCCCCGUAACAUAUGAUUUCUUAGAUUUCGAUCGUUCUUUUUUUUUGUAACAUUCCGUGUUCUGUGCAGUGACACACAUUGCACACUCAUCCUCUUAAGCUCGAAAUAUUCCAUGGCCACGUAUUUCGACCCGAACCGUAACUCCAAGAUAGACUACACAAAUGUCAAGAAAGUUCUUGAUGAUGUUCUCCCCGGCUACGCCAAAUCUGGAGGCACCUUCACCAGGCCAGUUCGUAAGUACGACAAGCACAUGUUUUCACACAAUACGAAGUUCUGCUGCGUCAAGCAGCCGCCUGGCGGUCAGAAGGAUGCCUACUACGCCCUCCAUCACAUGCGGGCGAUCGUAAGGGACCAUCAUCACCUUCUGCUACCAGAUAAUCUCAAAGAUUGGGCCACGAGCUUGUCGGCAGUCCAGGACGCGGACCUCAGACAAGAAUUCUUUCGCAUCCAGUCGGAGUUUGCGGACAUCAUCCAUCAAGAUGUCCUUCAUACCGCGGGGCAGUUCUUCCUCAGAUAUCAACCGUCCAAUAGUGAGAUAGAUGAAACGCUACAAAUGCAGGGUGACAACGACCGUGAUUUCAUGACCAUCACGACAGACGGCGGCUUCACCCACGCUCCUGUCCGAUGAGUCGAGUCGAAAGUAGUGAUGUGUAGUUCUGAAACAUUGAUUGGCUCAUGUUGUAAUUAAACUUUAAUGAAUUCGUAUGUCUCUUUGGUUUGGACAGUUGUUCAACUUAGAUGUAAUCGAUGCUAUUUAUUAGUAGGACUAUGAAUCGUGCUAUUAAUGUCUUGCUUUUCUCUUCUGAUCCUUUUGUUGCAUACUUACAUAUUGCUUAUGUAUUGUCUGUUGUUUGGCUUGUGCAUAGAGAUGCCGUCGUAUGUCGUGUACAAGGGUAAGGUUCCCGGAGUCUACGAUGACUGGGAGGAGCGUCGGAGACGGGUUCACCGUUUCAGCGGUAACAGUUACAAAGGGUACACCACUAGGGCGGAGGCCAAAUCUAGAUACGCACGCUAUCUAGUGGGAGAGAGGUGGGAGCGUUGGAGGAACCGAAUGAAGACCAGUUUGAUCGCGAUGAUGCUCAUCGUGAUGACCACAGCUCUCUUCUAUGUGAUGGUAGUUUAGAUGAUCGAUAUCGACUUGUAAUGUGAAGACAAACUCGAUACUCGCGGUCUUGAGACUUGUAAUGUUUUAUCUUUGUUCGGUCUUUUGAAUUCGGAGACUAAUAUGAUGAAUUGUAUUCGGAGACUAAUCUUCUAUUGUAUUCGAUGAAUCUGAUGUUGCUGUGUGCUGCUGUCUAUAUUCUGUCUAAUAAUAUAUUUUAUAUUCUGUCUAAUAAUAUAUUUUGUAACCGGCGCAAAAAUCAGAAAAGGAAAAAAAACAAAUAUUCAUACUAAUGGCGCAUCACCAUCUGGUGCGCCAUUAGUAUGCCAAAGGAUACUAAUGGCGCAUCAGAGGACAAUGCGCCAUUAGUAUGACAAAGCCAUGCUUACAUAUGCCCCCCCCCCCGAGAGGCACACUAAUGGCGCAUGCUGUUACAUACUAAUGGCACACUGGCAGGUGCGCCAUUAGUAUACCAGAUACUAAUGACACACCUUUGGUGUGCCAUUAGUAAGAUAUACUAGUGGCGUGCUACUAAUGGCGCACUGGUAAUGCGCCAUUAGUAGGCAAAACCAGUGCGCCAUUAGUAGGCUUUUUCCUAGUAGUGCUUGACGGACCGUCAAAUACUUGGCGUCUAGCCGAGACGAGGCGCCAACCACCUCGCCCAGGCCAAUGUGAGUGUGCGUCAGUUUUUACAUUGAGUGCGCACCCACCAUGACGGACAGGUCCUUAGCAUAUAGGUCCAUGGCGUCGCCUGCGUACAGGUCACCCUUUGGUGUAGCACCAGCCCAAGGCGACGUGGCCUCUACAACGCCACCUUUCCACGGCCUCGAGAGGCGGCCCCCUUUGUCUUGGCGGACCGCCGAAUACUCGGCGUCUAGCCGAGACGGGAUGCCAACCACCCCGGCCAUGCCCAUGUGAACGAGCAUUAGUUUUUACACUGAUGCCGGUCUCCCCAAACCAUUACUCCCGCAAGGUGUACCCCCUUGCACACCCCGAUGAAGUAACCGGCCGUCGAGAAGUCUAAGCCAAGCGCGACCAAUGCCACCCCGACAACAAAUAUUCCAACGCUGCCAAGACCGACGAGGCACAACGGUCUGAGGUCUACAUCGACGAGCUCGCAUUUUCGUCAUCUUCAAGCAACGCCGCCACCCGACGACACGCGAAUCUACUCCAACUUCUACAUCAACACACUCCCCCAAUCCUGUCCAAGCUCCGACGAGGCGAAGCCACUUCACCGACAUGUCUCCUUUCGAUGAAGCUAUCCAUAUCUAGCCGGGCACCGACGAGGCGAAGGCAAGACACACCGUGUCUGACACCGACGAGGCGGACACCACCAGGCCGAGCACCGACGAGGCGAAGGCCGACCAUCUGUCUGAGCUGACGAGGCCAGACAUCUUCAUCAUCGGACAUCGACAAGCCAGAGGGAUGUGACUAAGCAUCGUUGGAGCGACGGACGUACCGCUCCACUCUUCUAUUCCACCAUAUCAUCACCAUCAUCUACACCGAGCACUUGGAGAAGACGAGACUUGAAGACGACGACCAUUGCAGCAGCUUAAUCGGAGGUGGUCCGCGACUUUGACUCGCAGAUGUAAUUAAUCGGGAGCCUUCCGAGGCCCCGUGAACCAGAACCUCACAUCGCCCAAGUCAUAUCGGCCGUGCUAGCAGGCCAUGGAGCGCUUAUGUAAUGGAAGCUUGUAAUUUUGUUUCUCCAAUGAGAGAUUAAUAAAGUGCAAAUUUACCUAUCUUUUAUUUCUGUACUUAGUACACUGGCAGCGCGUAGAGAGAUAAUAACACGAUAACCAUCGUUGUUUGUUAUUAUUUUUCGUGUCAAACAUUUUUUUUCAAAAAUCGUCAUAUAAAAAAUUUAAUUUUGAGACGAAGCUUCACUUUAUAAAGAAAGUUAUUUCGGUAUUUGAUUGUUCAAAAUCAUCCUCUUAUAGGAGAGCUAACAGGAAAAAUUCAUUGGCAGACAAAGACCACUUAACUGAAUCUUAGUCAUGGAGAGAACAGCAUCGUCACAAGUAGUUUGGAUACAGUUCCAUGUUUGCAAAGUAUGUCCCGAAAGUGUCCUUGUAAAUUGACUGGUUCCCAGCUAUUUGUAAGAAACUCACCAACAGAGACACCUUUUGCUAAAGCAAAUGCCGUGCAGCCUGGGAUAAGAUUGGUUAGAAACUUAGAACCUGGUUGUUUAUAAAUUUGACAUUGGUGAACUCAAUUAUCAUUUCAAGCAGGACCUGGUUGUUUCAGACUUGCUACUUUACACAGUACCAUUCUGAUUCAUUAGGGAGUGUCGGUGUACCUAAUCUAACAUUCUUAAGAAGUUGAUCCCCACUACUACCAAUUCUCUCAACAUGCACACUAUCCACAUCAUCAUCAAGCCACCUCAUCANNNNNNNNNNNNNNNNNNNNNNNNNNNNNNNNNNNNNNNNNNNNNNNNNNNNNNNNNNNNNNNNNNNNNNNNNNNNNNNNNNNNNNNNNNNNNNNNNNNNNNNNNNNNNNNNNNNNNNNNNNNNNNNNNNNNNNNNNNNNNNNNNNNNNNNNNNNNNNNNNNNNNNNNNNNNNNNNNNNNNNNNNNNNNNNNNNNNNNNNNNNNNNNNNNNNNNNNNNNNNNNNNNNNNNNNNNNNNNNNNNNNNNNNNNUGAUUAAACCCCGGUAAUUAAUUGAAGGGGCAUGUUCCGUCCUCCAUUACCAAUAAACCGGUGUAAAAACUCAUAAAAGAAGCCCAUCGGUCCAUCUCUUCGUAUCCACUUUUCCUUAUAUGUAUCCUGGCAGAGUAGGCGACACCCUCGACCCGCACCUACGCAGUAAUGGACGGCGCCCUAUAACCCAGCCAGCUAGCCCUCUGGCAUUCAGCUAAGGUCGCUCCGGCAAGAUCCUGUGUGCGUCUUCUCAAGAUUUGUUAAUCAACCUGAAUGAAGCCUCGCCGUCGACGUGUAUCUCCUGCUGUAAUUACAUGUAUCGGACAUCGCAAAUUUCAAGGCCUCUCCGUCGCCACUUAACCGUCAUGGCCACCUGCUCAGCGAAUCUGAAAUCAUUGUCGUCUACGUUCAUCUCCUGCUGGUACUACAUGUACUAGAAAGGGUGAAUUUCGAGCCCUUGCAGUCGGCACUGCACCAUCGUGGCCGGUUCUGAACCCCUCUAUAGGUACACAUUCGGACCUUCCUCUGUUACCAGCUCUUCUCACUCCUUGAGCAUGAUGAUGAGUUCAUUAAUCCCCAAUCUAUGGACUCUUGCAUCUUGCUUUCUACCCAUUGAAUUUGUUUAUGUACCAGAAUUAGAUUCAGGGCGUUUGGAUUAAUGGGUGGAACCGGUCAAUUUUUUUCCAUUCGCAAUUAAUUGGCUACAACAUCGAAGUACACUUGGUUUUUUUUUCUUGGAGCAAGCUAUAAGCUGCAGGUUGCACUACUGUUGAUCUUUUUUGAAACUGGUCGAUGGAUGAUGCUUUGGCGAGGCCUGUCGCUCAUCUUGAUCUGCCACCUCCAAUUCUCUGUCAGGUUUGAUAUAAAUUCAGAUAGCUAUGUUUAUGAUCAUCCAUUUCCAAUUUCUCAGGUUUGAUCUAUAUUCAGAUAGCUAUAUUUAUGCGGAAUUUGACUCUUCGCUAUAUCAAUGCCCACAACAUGUUGUGUCUACCAGUAGUAGCAGCCGGCUGAAGCGUCAAGUUUGUCAGGAGAAGGAGCACUGUUGUCACAAGGGAUUUCACGACAUAUAAAAUGCAGUCAACUACUGCCGAAAAUAUAUCGGUGUAAUGACUAAGCCUCUAAUGCAUAAUUUUAAACAUAUGACCUCUCAAUAAGUGGUUGACCCUCGAAUCUGCAUUCACCCUCACUAGUUAAGGGCGCUCCACUACUAUAGAUUGACCCUAUGAUGGUUGUUGCUUAACAUCCUCCAAUAAUGAUUAAGCCACUCAUUAUGAUUAAGCCUCUCAUUAGUGAGCAAAUGUCGGAGGUUAUCUAUAAUUGUACUAGUUUGCAUGCUAUAUUUCUAUAAUUUAGUGCAAUAUUUAAAUUUUAUUUGGACUAUCCUAUUAAUAAAGGCCCAGUGUGAGUUUCUAUUUUUAAUGUUUUAGUUUUAGGACAAUUUGAUAUUCUGGGAAAGUAAAAAUAAAAAUAUGAGGGAAGUUUAAGGCAUAUCCUAGUAUGAGUGAGGCUUAAGGCAUUGCGUCCUUGUAUCCAUAAACCAUUGUCUAAGUGCAUCUAUAGCUAAUACUCCAACCAAAAUAGCUAUCCAGCAUGCAUAUCUAAGUAUUAAGUAAAAACAGAGUAUUGGCAUUAAGCAAAGUGACAUAAUGUUGAUAAUAUAUUCUCUUUACCUCCUCCAGUUCAUGACCUAGACAAUUAGGAACCAAUGUUAUUUAUCGUUGGUGGCAAUAACAUGAUACAAGCCUUUUUCCUCAUUUAACCCCUGAGACAGAUUACUUGCAAGGCUAAACCCAACUAUCAUACACAACUCCCUCUUGGAGAUCAUUUAUCUAAACAUGGUCAAUAUAAGACUAAUAGAUCAAAGAGCAUGUAUGUCUAUAAGUCACGCAACAAAGAACUCAAAAGAAUAAAAAAUAAACCAUAUAUUGAUAUAAUCAUAAAGUGACAAUUUAACACACCACAACAAACACACCGAGAAUUACAUCAUUUGGAUCACAAUCAUGUAAGGUAGUUCAUGUGAUCUUUGUAUUGAGAAGCAAGGGAGAGAGGAUGACAUCUAUCUACUAUUAUAUAUGGACCAAUAGCCCAGGAAUUAGCCCCCAACUUUCAGGAUAAAACACUGCCGACGGCGCUGGAGCACGUCCUCGACUCGCCACCGAGGGAGGUGUUGGUCGUCGCAAUCGCCUCACAGCCACCACAGAGGAGUUGUGGAUGUUCAUUGGAAACGUAUUGUCAUGGCGGCGGCACAAUUGACAUUCGAUGGCGUCCUUGUCACCAUCACCAAGCUCAUCUUGCCCCUCAGUCGCCUCCUCGCCUAUCCGACAAUCUACUAUCCGCGGCGUGGUGCCAUUUCAUCUUGAUACUUUUUACUUCAAAGAGGUUUGUUGAAAAUACUCGAACUGUCACUAAUCGUUAUUAUAAGAAUCGCAGUCUUCUUGCUAAUAAAAUUUCAGAACCGACCAAAAAACAAUGUUGUUCUCUUGCAUAUUCAGUAUUUACACCUCUUUCACGACUGCGGUCUUCAACUCGAGUGCGUUGGGUACGUGCACCUCAUUGCCCUUUUUUUUGUAGCUGUGCACCUUGUUUACAAUGUAGAAGCUAGGCAUUUCAGCAAACAGGCAAGUGCGUGAAAAACACCGUAGCAGCGGCUGGCUCCAUUUGAUUGAUUCAUUUCCUCCAUCCAUGGAACCUGCAAUACAUCCAUAGAAGAGAAGGGAAAGGAAAUAGACAGUACCAUUCAGAGAAGAUAGCUAGCAUGCCGUACUCCAUUCAGGGAACGGGAUGAAAUACGAUUGUUCCACCGGAAAGAAAGAGAGAGAGGACCGCACCGUCGCCGGGGCCUUGGGGCUGCCCGGCGUGCGCCUGGGGUAUGCCGAUGUCGCUGGAUGCUCGGAGCCGUGCCGCGCCGGGGUUAUGCCGAAUUGCCGAGGUUGGCGGGUGUCGAACGCACAGCCUGGAUGGAGGCGGAAGGCGGCCUCUCUGAGGCUCCAUCAUAGGACGGUUCAGCAGCACCAGGACGUGGUAGGACGUUUCGGGCGUCAGGAUGAGCUCGCUCGAUGGUCAUGCUGCAUGGACGCGCCCCCGCGCCGGAUGACGGCGGUGGCGGGUGGAGAACAGAGGUUUGAUGAACGUCUCUCAAUUUUCCUAGCUUGUCUGCAGAACUGACCAUGAGUUUAACCAGUAAACAACCACAUGAAUCAUCAAUCAACAGAAAAGUAUCAGAGACAUUUUGUUCCCAAAACGUGCAUCAUUGGCAGCCAGAGACCAUUUAACUGAAUCUCUACGAGUGGACUGUACAAAAUCCUCACAACUAGCUUGGAUGAUGUUCCAAAGUUACCUGAGAUAAGGAUGUAAAAGGUUAUCUCAAUCACCAAAGGGAACCAGGUUGUUUCAGGCUUGAUACUGUACACAAGACCAUUAUAAUUCAUUCAUUAGGGAGUGUGAGUGCAUCUAAUCUGGAAUGUAGAGGCUAGGCAUUUCAGCAAACAGGACAAGUGCGUGGAAAACACCCUAGCGGCUCGUUGGUUCCACUGGAUUGAUUCACUUCACCUCCUCCAUAGUUGUAGCCUGCACUGCAUCUGCAUCUGCAGAAGAGAAGGGGAUGGAAAUUUAGAGACAGUACCCAGGUAGCUAGCAGGCCGUCGUACUCCCUUCAGAGAAGGGGAUGAAAUACGAGCAGUUCCAUCAGGAAUGAAGAGAGAGGAACGCACCGUCCCCUAGGGGUCGCCGGGUGCUGGGAGCCGUGCCGCGCCGGGGUUAUGCCGAGGUAUGCGAGCGUCGAACUCACCGCCCGGGCAGAGCCGGAAGGCUGCCUCGUUGGAGCUCCCUCGUGGGACGGUUCUGCAGCGCCAGGACGGAGGUGGACGUUUCGCCGCGCGAUGUAGAUGGCCGCGACGCGUGGAGGCGCCACGCCGGAGGUCGCCGGUGGUGUUAGGAGAAACAGAGGCGUCGGCAUGGUGGCGGAAGGGAGCGUUGAGCGGAAACAGCGGAGGUUUUGACAAAUGCCUCAGCUGUUGUGACAAUAUCUUUGCGAAUCAGUGUGUUUCAUUCUAUUUUCCCAACUGGUAAUGUUUAAAUUUGAGGACAAUCUUGCAUUUUGUGCUCCACUGGCUUGUUUGGCUGCAGUUCCACUUCAGAUACUGCUAAGAUAACCACAGUUAGCCCUAGGUAUCCCUCGCCUCCAAGCAAUGAAUUGCUUGUGAUGGCUUUUCUCUCAAGUCCGAACAUGCAAGUGAGCUGUUUCUGAAUGUUCUCGUUCCCGAAAUAUGCAAGUAGCAAGUAAGCUGUUUCUGAACCAGCAGUGCACUGGAGUUUCUCCUGAAGCCAUAAUCUCCUUGCACUUCCUAUUGUUCAGUACUAGAGUCCACUGAUAAAUCGAGUUCUAUUCAGGAGUGUUCGAAAACCAGCUAAUCCGAGAUAUCGUUGGAUCAACAUGAAAACUGAGUGAACGAUGAACACAAUUUAUUCCUGAAAUAGGCAGCCCCUUACACCUCCACAGGGCUGGCUUACUUGGUUGUAGAUAAAGAAUAGUCCCCUGUAAAAGAUUCCACAUCAUUUUUGACUCUUUCUUCCCCUAUCCUCCUGUGCCUACAUGAUCGAUGUGAUUUUGCCUUGAAACCAGACAAGGUGAAAAAUUCAUGCCACCAAGUUUCUUGCAUAGUCUUAGCACGUGGUAGAUGAUAUUGGAAUAUUUUAGAGAGUUUUGGCACAACUAAAGAUGGGAUAAUAGAUGAAGAUCCUUCUGUGUCGGUGAUGAAUGAAAAUGUUCAGAUGUAUAUAUGUAGCCCUCAGUGUUCUUAUGAAGUGGAGGUGCUGCUGGUUUCUAAGCUAGUUGUUAUGUAGGCUAAGUGAUAGAGCUAUAACUUCUUUUUUGCGGGGAGUAGAGAUAUAACUUCAAUAUCAGCUGCUACCGGUACCCUUUCUACACUUGAUUUGUGUUUUUUUUAACAUUUACCUCCCCCCUCAAAAGAUAUUGCAAAUAAGUUCCAAGAUACUGUUUCCGGAAUCCUUCGUCAAAAUAGUUGUUGUGCCCUUGAUAUCAACACUACAGGCCUUCUAGCUGCUUGGUGUUGUAGUGUCAUCUUUGCUAAACAAUUGAUUAUAGUUGCAUUUGAUUUGUUUUAGAUGCACCUGAAACCAAUGAGCCAUAAAAAUCACGAAAAUGAGUUGUAAUUAAUACACAUAAAUUAGUAAUCCGUUGCAUCUGAGCCUGAGCAAUCAUUUUUACAUAAGAAAUCUAUUGGGUCUAUAUUUGUUUUGUGUCUCAUUGGAUUUUACACUCUCCAUGCUAAAGCUCAAUUGCUACAUGCAUCAAGACGACGAUUCCUUUUGCAAUAGCCUCCUAACUGGUGGUGAUAGAGAUGUCUGCUAGUCCAUCCCACCACCAUACAUUUUUGGAUAGUAAUAAAAUUUUCGGUGGCUAUGGCUCCUCAUUUGUUGUCUUAGGAUCAGCUAAGCAAUUGGAAACAUAUUAUCCAAGCAAUUGGAAACACGAUGAACAUCUAGCGGCGACGUAUGUCGUGUGGGCAGGAGGUAUGGGGUAGCCUGACACGUGGGGCUGUUUGGAUCAUUGCACCCACGGCGCCCUGCCAAAAUAUUGGUAGUUGAAUAGCUCUGGGUGUCCAUUUUGAUGCAAGCUAUACUGAGAGAAAUACAUCAGCCGACAUACAUGCCAAUGGACGGGCAAGAUUUCGGGAGCAUCUGAGCCCGGGCUCAGAGAUGAAUUUUCGUCGAUGCACACAUUAUUUUGAUUGGUGGUAUUCGGAGGAUAGGUGGGACCAAGCUAGAUAGAGUGGUACUACAUGCAUGUGCGAGAGAAGUGCAUAUAUGCAUACCCAUGUGAAAUUAAUUGCCUGAUCGCUUGACUCCAUCCACUCCUCCUCAUCCCCUCUUCAUUUCCAGUAGAAAUAUCACUCACAUAUUCCUAAGGUACACACCGCUUGCAUCUUAUGGUAGAUCCCAUUUAAUUGAAGCGCACACACAACUCCGAGUGAUCCUCCUUGCACAAUACCUUGCUCCUUUCCNNNNNNNNNNNNNNNNNNNNNNNNNNNNNNNNNNNNNNNNNNNNNNNNNNNNNNNNNNNNNNNNNNNNNNNNNNNNNNNNNNNNNNNNNNNNNNNNNNNNNNNNNNNNNNNNNNNNNNNNNNNNNNNNNNNNNNNNNNNNNNNNNNNNNNNNNNNNNNNNNNNNNNNNNNNNNNNNNNNNNNNNNNNNNNNNNNNNNNNNNNNNNNNNNNNNNNNNNNNNNNNNNNNNNNNNNNNNNNNNNNNNNNNNNNNNNNNNNNNNNNNCACCUUCGUAUAUGUUCAUACCUAAAUGUUUCCGGAGGGGGAGUGGGGCUGCAAUUUGUGGCGUUUAUGAACCUUUAGGCAUGGGAGGCAUGGGGCGGGGAAGAGUCACUUGACGUGAAUUUUCUUCUACAGAUAGUAUCCACUAUGUUAAUUAGCUUUUCGGGCAUAGCCAAGUUGAUAGGCUCUAUGCCAUGUGAAUACCAUGUGCUUUUGAUCGGGAGUAGGAAAGCUGACAUUGAGUCUUGCCAUGUCAUAGUUCUGCUAUUACUUUAGAACAUCAAAAUCUAUAUUAAGAAUUCAUUGCUAUAACCUCGAAUUAUUCUACUAGAUUGUUUCCAAUCUCACCACACUCCUGCUGUGUAACAUGAACACUUUUAUAUCUAGUAGGUGACUCAAUUAGAACCCCAAAGUGUGUUUCGAGAAAAAACAAAUGAUGGCUGGGAACUGAUUGCUUGCUAGUGAAGACGACAAAGUGUUGAUCAAUAAGCAAUAUUUUUUGGCCAUCUUGGUAACAAAAAUAAAUACAACAAAAACAAUGCCUUUCCAAACAAAUUGGGGUAUACCAGAACUGAAACCCAUAAGAUCUCGCAACCAACUCAUGGUUCUGCACAUGGAUAGCUAACUUCCACGUGCCCUUGUCCAAUGCUAAUUCUUUGGGAAUACUUUAGUCUUUCAGAUCCCUCUUUACGGACUCCUAGCGUGUCAAAUUUUGUCUACCCCGACUCUUGGCAUUAUCAUCAUGUUUUGUCCAUCCUCUAUGUACUGGAGCUUGCCCAAACCAUCUCAGACGAUGUUGGACAACCUUCUCUUCAAUCGGCGCAAAUCUAUCUUGUAUACCAUCAUUCGGGACCCAAUCGUUCCUUGUGUGGCCAGAAAUUCAUCUCAUCAUGCGCAUUUUUGCUACACUUAAUUAUUGAACAUGUUUCCUUUUAGUCAGCUAACACUCAGCGUCAUACAAUGUCGCAGGUCGAAUCGUUGUCCUAUGGAACCUGCCUUUUAGAUUUUAUGGCACUCUCUCGUCACAGAGAACGCAAGAAGUUUGGCGCCACUUCAUCCAUCGGGCUAUGAUUCGAUGGUUCAUGUCUUCAUCCAUAUCGCCAUUCUUCUGCAACAUUGACCCCAAAUAUUGAAAGGUGUAUUUCUGAGCUACCCCCUACCCAUCAAGGCAAACCUCCUCCUCUCUUGCCUAGUAGUACUAAAAUCGCACCUCAUAUACCCGAUUUUCGUUCUAUUAAGUCUAAAACAUUUCGUUUCCAAGGUUUGUCUCCAUAACUCUAACUUUCUAUUAACCCUCAUCUGACUAUCAUCAACUAGCACCAUAUCAUCUGCAAAGAGCAUACACCAUGGGAUAGCUCCUUGUAUAUUCCUUGUGACAUCAUUCUUCACUAAAACAAAAAGAUAAUUAAGGGUCAAACCUGACCCCUUGUGCAACCCUAUUUUAACCGUGAAGUCAUUAAUGUCGCCAUCACUUGUUCGAACACUUGUAACAAUAUUAUCCUACAUGUUCUUGAUGCGAGUAACAUAAUUUGUUGUCACUUUCUGUUCCUCAAAGGCCCACCACAUCACAAUCGGUCAUAUAUUACCGUAGACCUUGUCCAAGUUGAUGAACACCAUAUAUAGGUCCUAAUUUUGUUCCCUAAAUCUCUCCAUAAGUUGUUCUAGUUGGCGACAAUAAAAAAUCUGUAAUUAAUAUUUCAUAAGUAGUUCUAGUUGGCGACAAUAAAAAAUCUGUAAUUAAUAUUUCAUAAGUAGUUCUAGUUUCAUUCUGUCUAACUAGAAGGUUGAAAUAUGUUUCCUACUACUAAAUUUUCUACUAAAAUCAUCAACACAAAUUGUACAAUUUAUUUAGUUUGGCUUAUUAUUGUUUGUCCGUCAAUAUGUCAUAGAGCUUUCAGAACAAUAAAACAUAAUAUAUGUUGCAAGUAAAACAUCAACUCCAAAGAUUCUCUCACAUGCCAGAACCAUAUCCAGUCACUUGAAACACACAUAAGAAAAUGCUACUUAGUUCUGGGAUCCCAUUACAGAUAAAUUUUGAUACCAGCCACCUUAUGCAACUCAAUAUUUCCCCUUUUGCGUUCAUGGCAUGUGUUGUAUCCUCACUUGUACUAAUUAUCUUUCUUCUAUCAAAGGAAUGGCACACAAGAUUGCAUAUUUGCGGAAAAAAUGUAGGUGAUCCGCAACCCUGAUUUUUGUUUGUAUGAGCAGUAAUCCGUAGGAAUUUCUAUUGCCAUGCCUUCAACUUUUAACGUCCAGACUCUAGCUGCUUGGUGGGCUUGCCAAGGUCAAACUUGGUCACCUUUGUUAGAAAUAAUCUUGACUUUAAUUAGUGUUAGCAAUGUGUACCUGUUGUGAUUCGCUUGCAUUCAGGCCAAGGCGUGGCGGCGGCUUGCAAGUCUAAGUUGUACUAGUAUGGUCCACAUUAGUUGUUAGUACCCGACUAGGUUAAGUUUCCUAGCGCGAGUCAAGUUUGGAAUAUUAGGAUAUGUCGAUAAUGGGGCCCUCUUGUGUUUUCAUUUCCAUCGUUAUCUUCCCAGACAAAGCAUAACAUGCUCAAUGGGUUGCCGGUACAUGGGAACAAGAAAAAAGAACAAAAACGGUAAUGAGGAUGAUGUGGUAUAGUGAUCAAGAGUUGAUUCAUGGGGAUAUAUAUGAAGCUCACCUCGGUUUUUGUAAAGCAUUGCAAAGCAAAGGGAAUGACACAUGGAAACAAUAGGUUCACUCGAUAUUUAUUCGUGUGUGUAGGGGUCAAUAUGAUCAUCCAUGGUUCCACUAUUCUCACUAACCAGAAGGAGUUCGGGGUCAUUUCCACAAUUAACCAAACUUACGGUGUCGUACGCUUCAGGGUCACAGAUCUUUUGAGUACUACAAGUGUACGUUCUGAUGUCAUUUCUAUCGAAAAAGAUUUGGAAGAAAAGAAAAUGUUUUGAAGAGAGAACUGGGAAGGUUUCAUAAAAAAAUCCAAGAAAAGUGAAGUAUCAGAAAUGUUCUGGGCAACCCUGGAAAAACUCUGGAUGGUAUAGGAAGGGUCCAAAAGAUUCAUGAACCUAAUAGGAAAUUCUGGAGAGUGCAUCGGACUUGCUCCUUGGCAUGGGCCAAGUGGGACAACCCUAUUUGAGACGCAUGGCCCAUUAGUGGGGGCGCCACCCUUUGCCUUGGCAGCAAGCCCCUUUGGUAGAGUUCUGUAGAACUGUGUAGUGUGCUUGAGACCAAGAAUGCCCGUCCCUGCAUAUUAUUGAGUCCCCUCCAAGCAUGCCUUUUCCAGUCAGUCUCCCCUCAUACCGUGAUUUAGGGAGAUCUAUCUUCUUAAGGCCAGGAGUGAAGUCAACAUAAAAGCCAAUGACAUCUUCUGUUUGAUAGCCCAUGGAGAUGCUUCCUUCUGGCCUAGCACGGUUACGGACAUAUUUCUUUAGGACUCCCAUGAACCUCUCAAAGGGGAACAUAUUGUGUAGAAAUACGGGGCCCAGAAUGACAAUCUCAUCGACUAGAUGAACUACGACGUGCGUCAUGAUAUUGAAGAAGGAUGGUGGGAACACCAGGUCGAAACUGACAAGACAUUGCGCCAUAUCACUCCUUAACCUUGAUAUGAUUUCUGGAUCGAUCACCUUCUGAGAGAUUGCAUUGAGGAAUGCACAUAGCUUCACAAUGGCUAAUCGGACGUUUUCAGGUAGAAGCCCCCUCAAUGCAACUGGAAGCAGUUGCGUCAUAAUCACGUGGCAGUCAUGACACUUUAGGUUCUGGAACUUUUUCUCUGACAUAUUUAUUAUUCCCUUUAUAUUCGACGAGAAGCCAGUCGGGACCUUCAUACUGAGCAGGCAUUCAAAGAAGAUUUUCUUCUCUUCUUUGGUAAGAGCGUAGCUGGCAGGACCUUCAUACUGCUUUGGAGGCAUGCCGUCUUUUUCGUGCAAACGUUGCAGGUCCUCCCGUGCCUGAGGUGUAUCUUUUUUCUUCCCAUACACGCCCAAGAAGCCUAGCAGGUUCACGCAAAGGUUCUUCGCCACGUGCAUCGCGUCGAUUGAAGAGCGGACCUCUAGGUCUUUCCAGUAGGGUAGGUCCCAAAAUAUAGAUUUCUUCUUCCACAUGGGUGCGCGUCCCUCAGCGUCAUUCGGAACAGCUAGUCUGCCGGGACCCUUUCCAAAGAUUACGUGUAAAUCAUUGACCAUAGUAAGUACGUGAUCACCAGUACGCAUGGCGGGCUUCUUCUGGUGAUGUGCCUCGCCUUUGAAAUGCUUGCAUUUCUUUCGACAUUGAUGGUUGGUCGGAAGAAAUCGACGAUGGCCCAAGUACACAUUCUUCCUGCAUUUGUCCAGGUAUAUACUUUCGGUGUCAGCUAAACAGUGCCUUGCAUAGUGCUCUCCAAUUUUAGCAUUCAAAGUAGGAGUAGUUUUCCAAUUUGAGCAUUCAAUAAGCAAAACCAAAUCGUAAAAUAAAGUAGUAUUCAAAUUAGCAUGCAUUCAAUUAUAAGCAAAACUACAUCAUCUCUUGCGUCCGUACAUCGUCGAAUAUUAUCAAUAAUACACCUGGAAUACUAUCAUACAUAUAGCAUCACUAGUACAACUAGAACCGUAGCGCCCCGACGGGUAUCGGCGCGGGCGGUGAAUACCCAAUGAGAAGGAACCAUCACAGGAUCAUAGCUCCGGUGAGAUCCCUGGAGACCCUGCCAAGUAUUGUCGAACCUGCCCUCCGACGCAACCAUUUAGCGACGGACGUGCUCGUCCUCUUUGCUGACACCGUGACGUACCACCUCCACGGUGUCCGGAAGCCUCGGCACCUUCACUGGCCCACGCGACCGCCACCAAACAAGGAUCAGGUCAACGACGGGCUGGCUCCUCACCAACCUACGCCCCCCAAAAGGCAGAACCUCCCAAUACCAGCCCGGCGGAGCCCAGUCCCGGACAUGGCCCCUUUGACCUCUGAUACGUCCAUUUUGCAUCAUGCUUUUAUAUUGAUAUUUAUUGCAUUAUGGGCUGUUAUUACACAUUAUGUCACAAUACUUAUGCCUAUUCUCUCUUAUUUUACAAGGUUUACAUAAGGAGGGAGAAUGCCGGCAGUUGGAAUUCUGGGCUGGAAAAGGAGCAAAUAUUAGAGACCUAUUCAGCACAACUCCGAAAGUCCUAAAACUCCAUGAAAUUUAUUUUUGGAAAUAAUAAAAAAUACCGAGCGGAAGAAAUACGUUAGGGGGGCCUCCACCUGUCCACGAGGGUGGGGGCGCACCCUACCCCCUGGGUGCACCCCCUGCCUCAUGGGCCCCCUGUUGGCCCUCCGGUGGCCAUCUUCUACUAUAUGAAGUCUUUCGUCCGAAGAAAAAUCAGAAGCAACCUUUCGGGACGAGACUCCGCCGCCACGAGGUGGAACCUUGGCGGAACCAAUCUAGGGCUCCGGCAAAGCUGUUCUGUCGGGGACACUUCCCUCCGGGAGAGGGAAAUCAUCGCCAUCGUCAUCACCAACGCUCGUCUCAUCGGGAGAGGGCAAUCUCCAUCAACAUCUUCACCAACACCAUCUCCUCUCAAACCCUAGUUCAUCUCUUGUAUCCAAUUCUUGUCUCCAAGUCCGGGAUUGGUACAUGUAGGUUGUUAGUAGUGUUGAUUACUUCUUGUAGUUGAUGCUAGUUGGUUUAUUUGGUGGAAGAUCAUAUGUUCAGAUCCUUUAUGCAUAUUAAUACUCCUCUGAUUAUGAAACAUGAAUAUGCUUUGUGAGUAAUUACGUUUGUUCCUCAGGACAUGGGAGAAGUCUUGCUAUUAGUAGUCAUGUGAAUUUGGUAUUCGUUCGAUAUUUUGAUGAGAUGUAUGUUGUCUAUCCUCUAGUGGUGUUAUGUGAACGUCGACUACAUGACACUUGACCAUUAUUUGGGCCUAGGGGAAGGCAUUGGGAAGUAAUAAGUAGAUGAUGGGUUGCUAGAGUGACAGAAUCUUAAACCCUAGUUUAUGUGUUGCUUCGUAAGGGGCUGAUUUGGAUCCAUAUGUUUCAUGCUAUGGUUAUGUUUACCUUAAUACUUUUGUUGUACUUGCAGAUGCUUGCAAUAGAGGUUAAUCAUAAGUGGGAUGCUUGUUCAAGUAAGAAUAGCACCCAAGCACUGGUCCACCCACAUAUCAAAUUAUCAAAGUACUGAACGUGAAUCAUAUGAACGUGAGGAAAACUAGCUUGACGAUAAUUCCCAUGUGUCCUCGGGAGCACUUUUCUCUAUAUAAGAGUUUGUCCAGGCUUGUCCUUUGCUACAAAAAGGAUUGUGCCACCUUGCUGCACUUUAUUUACUUUUGUUACUUGUUGCUCGUUACAAAUUAUCCUAUCACAAAACUAUCUGUUACCUAUAAUCACUGGUGGAAAAAGGGCCUUUGGUCGCGGUUCGCAACUGCCAUUAGUCGCGGUUGCGCAACCGCGACAGACCGUGCGCGACUAAAGGCCCCCCCCUUUAGUCGCGGUUGCUUAAGAACCGCGACUAAAGGCCCGUCCACGUGGGCGCCAGGUGGCCGUCGGGGCGGAGGACCUUUAGUCGCGGUUCUUCUGGCCAACCGCGACUAAAGGCCGCCGCAGGUUUAGGGUUUUAGCCCCCCCCCUUAAACCUGUUUUCUGUUUAAUUUGUAUUGUUUUAUUUCUUUUGUGCUUUAUUUUAAUUUUGAAGGAGUUUCAUAUAUUCUACGGUACUACAUACAUGCAUAUGAAUGUACAAUUUCAAAUAAAUUUGAAAUUAGAACCAAAAAGAAUUCAAGAGGAAUAUACAAUAUAUAUUCAAUAUCAUCGGAUGACCAUAUACAAUUUUGAACAAGUUUCCAUACAUGAUUUAAUGCAUAUAAAGUUCUAUGUCCUCGUAAUAGUGUUCUCCUUUAGGAUGGAGGACUUCCCUGCUGAACCAUCCAGCUAGUUCCUCUUGAAGUGGUCGGAAGCGAGCUUCUGGACUAAGCAUCCACCGGAGGUUAUUCCUCUUAGCAUUGGUAUCACUCGGAACCCGCUCAGAGGUGUAUCUCCGGAUCAUCUCACAGACAUAGUAUCCACAUAGAUUGGUCUCCGGUGGCUGAAUAUCCCCAGCAUUCUUAGCCUUUAACAUUUUGAAUUCUAGCUCUUUUUUGAAUUCACCGACCUUUGUAUCUACGAACCGUCUCCAAACCCUACGAGGCAAAGAAAAUUAAAUGAACAAGAGAGUUAUUAAUUAGUUACUUGAUAUUAGGAAAUGAACGAAAUAGGCCGAUCGAUAUAGAGCGCAAAUGAAUGAAAAUAAUUACUUCUGCAGCAUUCUUCUCAUGCCGCCCCAAAGCUUUGGAUCCAUAUUCACAGAGUCGUGGACGAGACAUUCUGAGGUGUUAACUUUAAUUACUAGCAGAAUCCAGUGGAACCUGCGGACACGAUACAUGCACAGCACGUCAUGCAUAACUCAUCGAUUAGCCGGCCACAUACCAUGCAUGGAGUAAACAAAAGAGAAUGUGCUCAAGACAGAAACACUCACUCAAAAUGGUAAGGAAAUAGAAUAUCACUUUUGAGUUCCUGCUUUGUAAGAAACUGCCACAGGUCUGCCUCCACGUCGGCGGGGUAACGCUCCAACACAUGUCCAUUAACGAUGUGUGGGUCAAUGAACCCAACAUCAUGGAUGUUCCUUACUCUGCAUUCCUUAAUCUUCAUUCUGCAUGUAUAAUAGCGGACACAACAAUAUAAUUAGGACAUAUAUAUAGUGCAGGCAAUAUGAACGAGAUGGGGUAGAAAUUAAUAAAUCACUUACAGAACGUAGCAACUGAUGAUAGAUUUAUCGAGCUCGCGCAGAUUGAAAAGCUGGAACAAUUCACUCAGUUCAAUUUGUACAUAGUAAUGUUUGAAGUGAUGCUCAUGUCUAACUUCCGCAUAAAUAUAUUCUUUGGCGUUUUUAUUUUUUAUGUAACCCUUGUACCAUUUCAGCAGACCUUUCAUUUGUGGAGGUAGAUCAUUUUCCUCCGCAGGCUCGACGAGAGGCCCAUUCUUGACAUAUGUAAUUACUACCUCCUUCACUGGCGCCUCAUCAAGGCCUAACAGUUCACGAAGAGUAAUACCUAAGUUGGCCGCUUGUUCUCUGGCACUCGUUACAGUCAAUCCCUGUGCUGCCGCAGCUUGUAUGAUCUCGGGGUCAUCCGGACAGAAGGCUUCCACUAUAAGCGGGGCAAUCGAUUGUUUACUUUGUUCCCCGAGCUGGGCAACUUGUUUCCCGCUUUUUUUACUUUCGGCCUUCUCCCGCUCUUUGUUCUCCUUGAACAUGAGUGCCUGCCUGCGAAGUUCACGUGCAUAGUCGUUAGGCAGAUUCUUCGCGGCUUGAGACGGUGUGCUCAAAAAUGACUUAGCCCACUUCUUUUGCUCAUCAGAAAAUACUGGCUUGGGCUCGGGCUCUCUUUUCUUCUUGCAGUCCGCCUUCCAUUUCUCCAAAUCAGCAGCCGCGGCCGCGUCGACUUCCUCGGCACUACGUUCCCAAGGCCUUGUGGGGAGAGGCUUCAGUGAUGGCUCCGGUACCUUUGUGGUCUUAGGUACAUAAGGGUCCGGGUUAAUAAUCCAGGACUGCUUCUGCUUCUUUGCCGGAGGUGGAUUGGGGGGCGGCGUCUGAUCACCCGCCGGACGAGGACUGCGGGGCGGCGGCUGAUCACCCGCCGGACGUUGUGGACUGGGGGGCGGCGUCGGCUGACGUGACGGAGGUGUAGGUGAACCGCCACCACCACCACCACCACCACCACCACCACCACCACCGCCACCGCCACCACCACCACCGUAGGGGGGUAGACUUGUUGUCCUUGGCGCCUCGCCUGGAAACUUGAUAAACUUCUUUUGCCAUAGAAUGAAAUGGCGCUUGACAUCUCCAAGUCUUUUCUCCCCUUCAGGUGUAGCAAUGUCAAUCUCCAGGUCCUCAAACCCUUGGACUAUGUCCUCCACCGUGACACGAGCAUAGCCAUCUUGAAUGGGGUUGUUGUGGUGGAGUGCUCCAGGUAAACAUGGUAAAGCACUGCCGAUGGCUACCUUCAUGGACAUGUUCCCGAUAGGAUAAUACAGAUGACAUUCUUUCAUCUCCUUUAUAUCGUCCACGGGGUAGCGAGGAUGCUCCGGUGAAGUAAUUUCGACCACCAGAGGCUCCGGUGCAGUAAUUUGGACCACCAGAGGCUCCGGUGCAGUAAUUUCGAUCGUCGGUGCAUCUGCACCAGCCGGUGGGGCCUCCGUGGAAGCCACGCUGCUUCUUCGCUGCUGGCUUCCGAGAUCCGCUGGAUGAUCUUCAUGCUGCACCCGAGCUGCAUCUCUUUCGGCUACUAGUACACUCAUGGUUUUCUUCAUCACAUCCAUUUCCGAUGCCAACCGCGCCACAACAUCUGCUUCCCGAUCCAUCUUUCUCUUACGGCUUCUGUAACCGUACGGGUCAUCGUUCUGGGGGAACCCUAUUUUCCACGGAAUGUGCCCCAUGCCUCGUACACGUCCUCCGUGUUCAGGAUUCCCGAGGGCUUUUGUCAGCGCGUCGUUCUCUCUGUUGAACUUGAUCUUCCCCUGUUGAGCAUCCCUCAUUGCGUUAAUAAGGGCUUGGGUGGGUUUAAUUAAUUUGCCCCGGUAAACACACUCCCCUGUCUCCGGGUUCAGCGUUCCCCCAUGCCCGUACCACCAGCUUUUGGCCCUUGGGUCCCAUCCCUCUGUACCUGGACGGAUUCCUCGCGCCCUCAGCUCGUUCUCCAUCUUCUCCCACCUAGGCUCCCAAAGGCGAUACCCUCCUGGCCCCAUAACAUGAUUGUACUCCUUCUUAGCCGCAUUUUCCUUAUUUUUUUCGAUAUUUGAAUGAACUGCUCCGAUUUCUUUUGCUUCACAAAUUCUGGCCAAUCAUCUUUCAGUUUCUCAUAUUGUCCUUUGAAAUCCGGAGUCUUGUUCUGCUUGACAAAGUCAUGGGCUAGAUUUUGCUUGAAUUUCCGGAAUGCGUCGGCCAUCUUAUGAAGAGCGAACUGUUUGACUAGCCUCCUCCUCUCCUUGUUUUCCUCAAUCUUGUUACCCUCCUCAUCGAAUUUGUUGUAUUCCGGAGGUAGAACGAAAUGUUCCAUAAGCUUCUUGAAGCAAUCUUUUUUUGUUCUCUUAUCGACAAAAGUGAAACCAUCAAUUCGUGCCUUCUUUGGCUCAUUCCACUCCUGGACGGUGAUCGAGACGUUGUCUCUAACAAUGGCUCCGCAUUGGCUGACAAACUUGGUGGUGUUCUUGCGGGGCUCCAGCGGCCUGCCGGUUGCACUGUCGACAACCUCGAUGGUGCAUGUUUCUCCUUGUUUCAUCGUCUUGGUUGCGCCACGCUUUGACGACGUACUUGAUUGUUUCGACGAUCCGGCCGAGGGCUAAAAUAAGAAAGAGUCGCGCGCGUUAGUACACACAUAUUUAUUCAAAUCAGUUAGUUUGUAUCACCAGAGGCUCAAUGUAUAUAUAUACCUCGGCGCCGGAGGUGGUUGCUACUUCCAUUUGAAGAUCGUCGUUUAUCGACGUUUGUUCGGCAUCAUCUUGCUGACGGCGCCCUUCAUCUUCACCGUCAAGGUUCAGAUAAGAAGAGAUAUCAUCUUCUUCUUCUCCGGUCGGCACAUAUAGAAUAUCGCCGUUUAUGAUGCCGAACAUAUGUGCUUCACCGUCCGGAUCAUAGUUGUCCAUAAUCGGGUCAGCUCUAUCGUCCGCCAUUAUGUCAGUCCUGAAAACAUGUAGUAAAAACAAAUUCAUUAAGUGAAGAAGGGGGGCGGUGGCGGUGGCGGUGGCGAAAGGGCGGUGGCGAAAGGAGGGGGCGAUGAAGGGGUGGGAGAGGGUGUCGCGGUAGAGCGCGAGAGGGGAGGCGAGGACAACACAUUUAUAACCCUCGCCGUCCCCUCUCGAUCCCUAAAAAAACACCGCGCGCAUCGCCGCCCCCCUCGCCGCCCCUCUCCGUUUAAAAAUUAUUCGUGUAUUUCAAAAAAUUGAUUUUAUUAGACACAAAAAAUUCUUUCACGUAUUUUCACGUAUUUAAUUUUAAAAAUUCUUUCUUUUUUUCUUCUUCCUUUUUUUUCUUCUUCCUUUUUUUCUUCUGUUGUUUUCUUCCUUUUUCUUUUUUUUCUUCCUUUUUCCUUUUUCAUUAAAUGUUUUCUCAACCAACUGCCGAAAGUCUCCAUGUGGGCCUUCCUAAUCCAGGAUUCAGGCUUCCCCGGGUUGUCCGAGCGUAAAAUAUUCUUGUGUUUCUCAAAGUACGGAGCCACCAAGCUGGAAUUGGUCAGUACAGUGUGGUGUGCUUCAGUCAGAGAAUGGCCGUCCAUACAUAUCGUUGAUUUCCUUCCGAUCGUGCCUUUUCCACUUAGUCUCCCCUCGUGCCGCGAUCGAGGAAGACCAAUCGGCUUAAGGUCAGGAACAAAGUCAACACAAAACUCAAUUACCUCCUCAUUUCCAUAGCCCUUGGCGAUGCUUCCUUCUGGCCUAGCACGGUUACAAACAUAUUUCUUUAAUACUCCCAUGAACCUCUCGAAGGGGAACAUAUUGUGUAGAAAUACAGGACCGAGAACGAAAAUCUCUUCGACUAGGUGAACCAGGAGAUGCGUCAUAAUAUUGAAGAAGGAUGGCGGGAACACCAACUCGAAACUGACAAGGCAUUGGAUCACAUCGUUCUGUAACCGUGGUAGAACUUCUGGAUUGAUUACCUUCUGAGAGAUUGCAUUGAGGAAUGCACAUAGCUUCACAAUGGCUACUCGAACAUUUUCCGGCAGGAGCCCCCUCAAAGCAAUCGGAAGCAAUUGCGUCAUAAUCACGUGGCAGUCGUGAGACUUCAGGUUUUGGAACUUUUUCUCCGCCAUGUUUAUUAUUCCCUUUAUAUUGGACGAGAAUCCAGACGGGACCUUCAUACUGCUCAGGCAUUCAAAAAAGAUGACCUUCUCUUCUUUGGUCAGAGCGUAGCUGGCACGACCUUGAAACCAUUCCGGAUGCCGGUCAUCAGGGUCUUUCAAAUGUUGCUGGUCCUGCCGUGCUUCCUUUGUAUCAUUUGUCUUCCCAUACACGCCCAAGAAGCUUAGGAGGUUCACGCAAAUAUUCUUCGUAACGUGCAUCACGUCGAUUGCAGAGCGGACAUCUAGGACUUUCCAAUAUUCUAGCUCCCAGAAUAUAGAUUUCUUCUUCCACAUGGCUGCGUGCCCGUCAGCUCCCUUCGGAACUGAUUGUCCGCCAGGACCCUUUCCAAAGAUGACUUUCAAAUCCUUGACCAUAUCAAAUACCUCAGCACCAGUGCGUUCCGCAGGCUUCGGCCGGUGAUCUGCCUUGCCGUUGUAAUGCUUGCCUUUCUUUCUUACUGGAUGAAUUUUCGGAAGAAAUCGACGACGCCCAAGGUACACGUUCUUCUUACAAUUUGGCAAAUGUACACUUUCAGUCUCAUGUAAGCAGUGCGUGCAUGCAUUGUAUCCCUUAUUUGACAGUCCCGAAAGGUUACUAAGAGCAGGCCAAUCGUUGAUGGUUACGAAAAGCAACACUCGUAGGUCAAAUUCCUCUUGUUUGUGCUCAUCCCACACACGGACACCACCCCACAGCUGUAAAAGUUCAUCAACUAAUGGCCUUAGGUACACAUCGAUGUCGUUGCCGGGUUGCUUCGGACCUUGGAUGAGCACUGGCAUCAUAAUGAACUUCCGCUUCAUGCACAACCAAGGAGGAAGGUUGUAGAUGCAUAGAGUCACGGGCCAGGUGCUAUGGCUGGAGCUCUGCUCGCCAAAAGGAUUCAUGCCAUCCGUACUUAGAGCAAAUCUUAUGUUCCUUGCGUCAGCUGCAAAAUCUUUGAACCAUCUGUCGAUCUUUCUCCAUUGCGUUCCAUCUGCGGUGUGUCUCAACUCCCCGUCCGACUUACGGUCCUCUUUGUGCCAUCGCAACAACUUGGCAUGCUCUUUGUUCCUGAACAAACGUUUCAACCGUGGUAUUAUAGGAGCAUACCACAUCACCUUGGCGGGAACCCUCUUCCUGGGUUUCUGGCCCUCAACAUCGUCACCAGGGUCAUCGCCUCUGAUCUUAUAACGCAAUGCAGUGCAUACCGGGCAUUCAUUCAAAUUCUCGUAUUCACCGCGGUAGAGGAUGCAGUCGUUGAUGCAUGCAUGUAUCUUCAGAACCUCUAAACCUAGAGGGCAGACAACCUUGUUUGCUUCGUACGUACUGGCGGGCAACUCGUUAUCCUUUGGAAACAUAUUCUUCAACAUUUUCAGCAAGUUUUCAAAUGCCGAGUCAGCUACACCUGCCUCUGCCUUCCAUUUCAGCAAAUCCAGUGUGCAGCCCAGCUUUUUCAGACCAUCAUCGCAUCCGGGGUACAGCGCCUUUCUGUGAUCCUCUAACAUGCGAUCCAAAUUCUCCCUCUCCUUUUCAGUUUCGCAGCGUCUCCGUGCAUCAGCAAUGGUCCGACCAAGAUCAUCAACGGGAUCAUCACGUGCCUCUUCUUCACCUUCCCCUUCACCUUCAGCAUCCUCCAUGAAAGUAUCACCGAAAUGAGCAAGAUAGCUUUCAUCGAUGAAAUCAUCCCCUUCUUCAUCUUCUUCCAUUAUAACCCCUCUUUCUCCAUGCUUGGUCCAACAAUUAUAGCUUGGCAUGAAA